AUUUUGAAUAAAUAAACUAAUUCGAAAGGUAAAUGCACAAAAUAUACAUGCCACAUGUAGUGGAUGAAGUGUGUUUAGACAGGGGAACUGUGUGUGUAGUGGAUGCAGAGUGUGUGUUUGUGUAGUGUGUGUAUAAUGAAUGUAGUGUGUAUAUAAUGCAGUGUGUGUAGUGUGUAUAUAAUGCAGUGUGUUUAUGUAUUGUGUGUGUAUAAUGCAGUGUGUUUUUGUGUGUGUAUGUAAUGCAGUGUGUGUGUUUGUGUAGUGUGUGUAUGUAAUGCAGUAUGUGUAUGUAAUGCAGUGUGUGUUUGUGUAGUGUGUAUGUAAUGCAGUGUGUAUGUAAUGCAGUAUGUGUGUAGUGUGUUUGUGUAGUGUGUUUGUGUAGUGUGUGUGUGUAUGUAAUGCAGUGUGUGUAUGUAAUGCAGUGUGUGUCUGUGUAGUGUGUGUAUGUAAUGUAGUGUGUGUGUGUCUGUGUAGUGUGUGUAUGUAAUGCAGUGUGUGUGUGUCUGUGUAGUGUGUGUGUGUCUGUGUAGUCUGUGUAGUGUGUAUGUAAUGCAGUAUGUAUGUAUGUAAUGCAGUAUGUGUGCAGUGUGUGUUUG